ACGCUCGACACCUACGGGAGGCAGCAGUCGGGAAUAUUGCGCAAUGGAGGAAACUCUGACGCAGUGACGCCGCGUAUAGGAAGAAGGUUUUCGGAUUGUAAACUAUUGUCGUUAGGGAAGAGAAAGGACAGUACCUAAGGAGGAAGCUCCGGCUAACUACGUGCCGCAGCCGCGGUAAUCUGAGCGGGCUGGCAAGGC
rnacentral:rRNA from 1 species